rfam:Stentor coeruleus isolate WM001 SteCoe_contig_310, whole genome shotgun sequence.
GCCCGUCUAGCUCAGUCGGUAGAGCGCUAGGCUCUUAACCUAGUGGUCGUGGGUUCGAGCCCCACGGUGGGCG